rnacentral:rRNA from 1 species
GACGAACGCUGGCGGCGUGCUUAACACAUGCAAGUCGAACGGAAAGGCCCUGCUUUUGUGGGGUGCUCGAGUGGCGAACGGGUGAGUAACACGUGAGUAACCUGCCCUUGACUUUGGGAUAACUUCAGGAAACUGGGGCUAAUACCGGAUAGGAGCUCCUGCUGCAUGGUGGGGGUUGGAAAGUUUCGGCGGUUGGGGAUGGACUCGCGGCUUAUCAGCUUGUUGGUGGGGUAGUGGCUUACCAAGGCUUUGACGGGUAGUCGGCCUGAGAGGGUGACCGGCCACAAUGGGACUGAGAGACGGCCCAGACUCCUACGGGAGGCAGCAGUGGGGAAUAUUGCACAAUGGGCGGAAGCCUGAUGCAGCAACGCCGCGUGCGGGAUGACGGCCUUCGGGUUGUAAACCGCUUUCGCCUGUGACGAAGCGUGAGUGACGGUAAUGGGUAAAGAAGCACCGGCUAACUACGUG